AUUGAACGCUGGCGGCAGGCUUAACACAUGCAAGUCGAGCGAGCGGCGGACGGGCGAGUAAUGUAUGAGGAUCUGCCCGAUAGAGGGGGAUAACUACUGGAAACGGUAGCUAAUACCGCAUAAUAUCGGAUGAGCCCACAGUGGAUUAGCUAGUAGGUGAGGUAAUGGCAAACCAAGGCGACGAUCCAUAGCUGGUCUGAGAGGCUGAUCGGCCACACUGGGACGGAGACACGGACCAGACUCCUACGGGAGGCAGCAGUGGGGAAUAUUGCGCAAUGGGCGAAAGCCUGAUGCAGCCAUGCCGCGUGUGUGAAGAAGGCCUUCGGGUUGUAAAGUACUGUCAUCGAGGAGGCGGUACUCGCAGAGGAAGCACCGGCUAACUCCGUGCCAGCCGCCGCGGUAAUUC
rnacentral:rRNA from 1 species